ensembl:lncRNA
UGCGGCUCUGCAGAGGGAAACGCCGCACUGUACUUCAAAGAGGAGAAAAUCUGCAGCUGCCGGGAGCCCGCCUGCCCCAGGAGGUGUCACUGUUGGGACUGGCAGGUUCUUUAGAUUUAUGCAGUAGCCAUGUUUGUCAAAGUAUUUGGCUCUGGUGACAUCAUCUUUGUUGAAACGCCGGACAGCAUGAUGAGUCCCAGAUGUUAAUGCACACUGAGAGUCGAGAAAGAAUAAAAUCCAAAGAUCAACACUAACAGCUCUGGAGGUAAUGAAAGGAGUGCACUCACUUUGCACUCUGGGGUUGAUGGAUGAAUACGUGAUUUUUUCCAAGGCAUCCUAAAGCUGUUAAACCUUACAGUCUGUUUUCUUUCUGCCUGGCUUGUAAACUUUCGGCUCGGUGAAAGAAGUUGUGAGUUAUUUUCCUCUGGCAAAUGAAGCUCCAGGCAUGGAUCCCUUGCUGCUGACACAGUGCAAAGGAUAAAAAAGCCAUUUAAAAGACGGGUAAGAACAAACAACGUGAUUAAAGGGAGCUGCCAAAAGCUGUACAAGUGUCAGCUGCCACCACUGCUCGUUACAUGGAUGAAGCUGUUGACUUUUAAUUUAUAGACAUUUGAGAAGGUGUACGUGAAGACUUGAAAAGAAGGCUUUCUUUUGCUAAAAGAAAAAAGAGAACUGUUAUUAAGAACCUCUGCUGAAAUACACUGAAUUACUUCUGCUGGUCUGUGCUAUUUGCCAAUGAGAUCUUUCUGGUUGUGUCAGAAGAUGUUCAGUCUGUCGUUCAGAUCCUCAAGCAGUGAAAUGGAGGAGAUAGUAUUUGACCAUCUGGCACUGUCUUCUUGGGCUUUACUGACUGCAAAAACAGAAGAUGUUCUGCUGAGUGAUGGCUGGUUUUUGUCCUGUCAUGUCCUGAGUUUCCACAUCCCCCUGCUCGAAGAAAUGCCAGUUCUUCCAACCACUUCUUUUUUCCUGGAUACCUGUCAACUGUUCACAUUCAGAGACCUUGGAAGGGUAACCAACUUUGAAGAUUUUGUAGACGGCUUUUUGCCCGAAUGGGAAACUGCUGAGUUUCAUCUCAUCCCUGUAGUGGUUAAUUCCAGGACACUGGGAAAGACCCCGAGCUCUAAACGUUGGAUUAAGAUCUUCACUUCAGCAGCUGAGACAAUCACACUCAGGAAACUGGGAAAAAGAGUCCUGAGGGCAGAAAGAAAGGAGAUCUACCUGGUGGUGGCAGAACAAAAAGAUUACACAACCUUGCAAGAAGAGUUCAGUCUUGCAAGAUGUGAAUAUAAGAAGCUAUCUUCAACUGAAAAGUCUAUAGAAGAGAUUUUGGAACAAACAGAAGAUCAACAGGAUCUAAUUGUGAGGAGCGGACGAUACUUCUCCAGAUGGAACUGAAAUGUGAAAUUACAGAAUUUUAACUUCGGUACCAGGUGCAAAGAGUGAGUAAUGUGGUGAUCAGAAGGAAGGCUGACUGUCUGAAAAGAAGCUGGACCCAGUAAAACCGGUUGAGAAGGGACACAAUUGCUGUCUAUAAAUUUAUGAUGAGGUGACUACUUCAUCAACUUGGCUUUUCACUGGCAUAGAAGAACCAGAAAAUGAACCUGGCACUAGAAGCCUGUGUUUCUUCUGCAGCUGGGAAAGCGGUGGGCCUCUCCAGAGCAAGAUUCACCAAAGCAUAUACAAGACUCUCGAUGCUGGAUGUGAAGGCAGAGAAACAAUUUACUGUUUUAAAACAAAGAGCCUGUUCCUCAGGAGACAUAGACUGGUAAAAUUCAUGUGAAGGCACACCCCAGUUUCCUUGACUGCAAUGCAAUCCAAAUGCAGGCUUCAAGACCCAAUGGUCAGAGUAUUGGGUCAAGCUGAGAACUUGUGGGUUGUUGUCCUGGGCUCAGCUGCUCAUCUUGCCUCAACCUCUUCAGCAAAAAAUUUACAGGCACCUGUCUGGAAGAGAAGAACAACUACAUUCCCCAGAACGCUUUGUGCUCAGAGAGGAGAUCCAACCCCUAGCAGAGUCACGAGACCUUUCCUUUUUAAUUCAUCUCUCCUCCCUGCUGCUCAACCCAACUGCACGUUUCACCUCAGUGUUAUGAAGUGGUAUCUCAAGAUGAAUGGCAGGAUAAUACCCAUUUGAAAUAUAAGUGGACAGCAGCAUCAGAUCAAAUGGAUGGUGAAAAGAGACUGAAUGGAAAAUGAUGACAGGGCAAAAAUGUCCCUUCCUACCAACAUCUUCAAUGUUUUCAUUUCCAAGCAUUUGUUAAGCAAGGAAGAGGAUCUCUCUCUAUUUAAUGUAAUUUAGUGAUAAUUCUUUGGAAAAGAGAAAAUAUCCUUUCACAGCUGUAUCAACAAUAUCUUCUCUCUUAAAAGAAAACAGCAGCUGACUUGACAUGUCAAGCAUCACGUAUUUGGCCACGGAAGGCAAGCAUGAGCCAGACUGGUCAAUAGCACUGACUUGGAACAAUGCCACUGAAAAGUUGGUCUGUAAACUGAUGCUACCUUAUUUCUUGGAUUGUAGAAGGGCUUGCUGAGAUUUAGCAGCAAUGCAGAACUACCACAUUCCCGGUAGAUAUUUCUUUUCUUGUUACAUGAGACCCAUGCAUGAAGUGAAAAAGAACAAAUGAACAUCAGGUUUACAUCACCACUGAUAUGUGAAUGAUUGAUCACCCAUUAAAUCACAUACAGAGCUGGUAACAGCACACGGGGUAGCGUUAAAGUAAAAUGUUUGAUAUUCUUUACUCUAAUUAAACAUGGAAAUAAUACGAUGCAGUCUGUAUUGUAAAUGUUAUUGCAGAUUAUAGACCUAAAGGAGAGGUGUUAUGCCACCUUUAUAGCCUCCAGUUCCUGGAGACUGUGACUUAGAGCUGCCUCAGGGCUGCCCUAAAUUACACCAGUUGGUAAUGACUCCCAGAGGGCCGCUAUGCAUCCAGUGGUUGCUGGAGUGUAAAGUACUUUGGCUAUGCCAACAGCCCAUCAUUUCACAAUGGAGGCUGAGAGCAGCUGGCAUAGUGCUUGGAGAAAAUCCCCAAGUAGUGGUUUAAGACAUUUUUCGAACUCUUUUUUUUUUGUCAUGAGAGUGAUAUAAAAUAAAGGCCAGAUUUCACAAACACACAGGGGCUUUUCCUUUAUUAUUUAAGCAUCUGUAGUCGUGAGUUGAUAAACUGAGAGAUGAGGGUUUCUAUAGGAUUUCAGAGCAGGUAUCAACCCAAUACUGCUUCAGCUUGGCAGCAUUCCAGCUCUUUGCCCUGGCCCCUAUUCCCUGCGUGGUGCAGUGGAGCACCACUGGCUGUCAAAGGCAUACUCCUGGUUUACAUCUCUGUUAGCAAAAGGAGAACUGGAUUCCCCCUUGUAAGUGCCAGAUUUUCAAUUCAGGAUCAUAUUCCAUUCUUCGAUGGAGCUGCCAAAGAUAAAACUUGACUUUCCACAUGUAAAAUGUUUUUGUAAAUGUAUGUGUGACUCAUUCAAUAGCUCAGCCCAUCCUCACUCAGUGAGUGAUGAUUUUUCUGUCCAGUGUGUGGGUGGGCUGACCAUUCUUACGCAAAUCUCAAAUAUAAAAAGUUUUCUUGGACAUUAGGGAAUAAUAUUGGCAGUUUGGGGAUUUUGUUUUGAUGUGAUGCUCACUUAAAGCAUCCUGAAGAUAAUAGCUGACUGCUAGCAGCAGAAACUCACAACUCACAAACUGAGAUGAUGCAGCCCAAAAUUCAGAUGGCUGUGUUUUCAAAUCUCUGAGAUAACAAGCCACUGCUGUUGAUCUUACUAUAAGUUCUAUGAAACAUAAUCAAAAAUAAAGUAAGGGACAGAGAUAUCACAGGUAGGAAAUCCUUUGGGCAGUCACAGGUAGGUGUUGUUCUCAGAUAAAUUUACUAGAGAAAAGUAAGUAUCUUUUCUGUUCUAAAGAGAGUUAUUUUAAAGAGUCACUGAGCUCCAAUAUCACUGAGGAGGAGAAUGAUUUCACGGAGAAAUUUUUCUGGAUGUGAAUUCAUAAAGGACUCACUCUCACAUUGUGUGGAGAAAGAUGAGUGUUAAGACAGAGGGCUGAGCUGUAACCUUCCUAAUGGGAAGAAAAAACUAGAAUUCCCUUCUCUUUCGCAGAGUUCUCUGAGCUAGUCCUGGCUAGCAGACCUGUGUAGGGCAGCAAAAAGACAAAAGAAGGACUGAUUAAAGAAGCUAACAUGGCAUCUUGUCUGCUCCCUGACUGUGCAUCCUUCUGUACACGUGGAAGAGAGAUGGUCUGGCAUUUCUGUCUCUCCCUGCAAGGAUCAAAUGGUGGUGAGAAAACUUCCUUGGUGCUUUGUACCUAUCUGCUGACAGAUGGACACACAAAGAGUUCCCAAAAAAAGGUGAGGAACGUGGAUCAUCAAAUGGUAGUAUAAAACAUAAUAAAAUGGUCAGAAAAAGACAUUAUCUGGCCCAUCGUUCUGCCUGAAGGCAGGAUUGACUUCAGCUACGUACAUUCUGAUAGCCAUCUGUCACUCUAUUUUUUGAAUUAUUAAAUGAUUUUUAGUAGUUAUAACACCUGUUAUUAUCCUCUAAGCAAUCCAUUCCAGUGAUUAGCUAUUAUUUCUGCACCCUGGAAUAACAUUGUUAACCUAGAACUAACAUGAGCCAAAUACUGGAGGUAUACGUGUUAUACUCACUUCUUUCACUAGAUCCUUUCUGGAGUUUGGAAAGAAGCCUAAUUAAAAUUAGAUGACUUGCACCCCCCCAUAUCAAAGGAUCUGGGCCAUGAUUUCUGUUGAUUUAAUGGUUUAAAAUUGACAAAAUUCCUUGGAUGGAGAAGGAUUUAUUUUGUAUUUCUACUGGAGCUGGAAUACAAUACCUGAGGACAGGAAAGUGUUUUGUUAAAAAAUAAAAGCAACUGAUUUUGUCUUCUGUGUGCUUUUAAAAUUUGUUCUGAAGGCAGAAAGGGAUGGAUAACUAUGUAAUUAAAGAGAGCUAAAGGAGGGACAGUAAUGAACAAAUACCAUUAUUUUUGCCAUAGUUCUUAAGGAAGCUAAGGUAGAGGUGCAGAAAAUCUGUUACAGUGAUGCACUUUACUUAGCAUGGGAGUUCAUGCAGUGCAAAGAGCUUGAUGUGUGCAGCUGAGCUGGGCCUAAUGGGCAUCAGUUGUUAUCUGUGGAAAUGGAGUCUGUUAGAAGGAGGCUGGCUACUAUACCCGUCUGAGAUGGCUAGUGGGAUUUUCAACAUACUAGUGACCUUUUCUUACUCAUUUUGCUGAAUUUUUAUCCAAUAAAAGCCAUCAUGUGCCCCAUAUACCCAAGUCUGUAUUGUGCAUUAUGAGUCCGUUGGUGAGGGUGUUGUGAGAAGCAGAUGGAGAGGAGUAGAAGACUGUAGAGAUGGAACAGGGGUUGGGGAACAAGGGGAGCUGCUGAAAGCCAUAUACACUCAAGCACUCUCACAUUUACAUAUAUUCUUUUAAGUAUGCUUUUAUACAUACAUGUAUAUGCAUGUAUAUACAAAGUGCAUUCUACACAGCAUUUCUCUCCCAGAAAUGCAGAAACUGCUGUGAAUCUGCCAACAGGCUUUGCAUACUUAUGCUAGGAAAAUUCUUAAGGAAAACGAUUAUAUACCUGUUGUAAAUUGAUCCAGUUUGAUAAGAAUUUUGCUAAUUAAUUAUGUGCCUUAUAAAGCUCCUGGCACAUGAGGAAGUUACAGACAAUUAUGAGUAACUAAGUACAGAAGUUUAAAUAGCAAAAAACUUGUUACCUGUUAAUGCUGUUCCCUGUCCAUUUUGAUGGGCGCAUACUGGUUAUGGUCACUCUCCAAUCCUGUAUUAAAUAAACAUAAGUUUAACAGAAAUGUUGCCGACUUUGUUUUCAUUGUGCAGCAAAUUAUUGCCAUGCAAGGUUUAACUAUGGCUAGUGAAAGUCACAAAGACCAAGUGGUAUUGUUCCAUAGGGCUGCUACAGCAGUUUAGUAACGUAAUAGCUCUGAUUUUCAGAAUCCUGACAAGUUACUAUGGCUUUGAUCAAACAUGAAAGGAAGUACAGUUUUGUUCCAGACCAUUUAGAACAAAAGCUUUGUUUACUUUUUUUCCCUAUUUUUUUUGAAAAUGUGUGGGUUUCUCAUCAAAUAAGAUCAGCUUCAGUCUUAGGUCAACAUGACAUUUAGCAUGCGUGUCUUUGUGCAAAGGUGGACUACUUUUUCAGUGAAAAUCAGCUCAGUUUUUAGAAGAAAGUGGGUUCUAGAGGUUGAAGGUUUACCGACAAAACUCCAACCAAUUGCAAUUUUAAUAACAUGUAAACAAGUGGAUUAUCUACGGUGGGCUGAAUGCUGACAGGUGAGCAACAGUGCUGGAUGCUUCCAGGAUGCAAACAUAAUCUUGAGAGACAGAGAGACCUUCCUCAGAAGCACGAGUACACAGGAUUCAUUGGGUAGGUUGCUUCCUCCCAUAGGAAAGUCUAUGUUGUAAAUGCUUAGUCCAGUUUCUAAGGUCUCUGAUAGGCUUUUAUAUCUGGAUCUGAUCCACAAAUAGACCUGGCUCCUCUUCAAGCUAGUGAGCCUAGUGAGGUUGGGAAUCUGACCUUGCCCUUUUAUAGCUAGUGGAGUUUGCGUGUAUCUCUCCUCACACCAGUGUUUACAGUUGACAUUGAUGAAGUUUCAGUAUUGGCCCAUAAUAGCGGG